rnacentral:rRNA from 1 species
GACCUUCGGGAGCUUAUACAGGUGUUGCAUGGCUGUCGUCAGCUCGUGUCGUGAGAUGUUCGGUUAAGUCCGCUAACGAGCGCAACCCUCACCGUAUGUUACAAGUGUCAUACGGGACUGCCGGUAAAAAGCCGGAGGAAGGUGAGGAUGAUGUCAAGUCAGCAUGACCUUUAUAUCCAGGGCUACACACACGCUACAAUGGUCUGUACAAUUGGUUGCCAAGCCGCGAGGCGGAGCCAAUCCGUAAAGCAGGCCUCAGUUCAGAUUGCAGUCUGCAACUCGACUGCAUGAAGCCGGAGUUGCUAGUAACCGCAGGUCAGCAAUACUGCGGUGAAUACGUUCCCGGGUCUU